CUCAGAUUGAACGCUAGCGGGAUGCCUUACACAUGCAAGUCGAACGGCAGCACGGACUUCGGUCUGGUGGCGAGUGGCGAACGGGUGAGUAAUGUAUCGGAACGUGCCUAGUAGCGGGGGAUAACUACGCGAAAGCGUAGCUAAUACCGCAUACGCCCUACGGGGGAAAGCAGGGGAUCGUAAGACCUUGCACUAUUAGAGCGGCCGAUAUCGGAUUAGCUAGUUGGUGGGGUAAUGGCUCACCAAGGCGACGAUCCGUAGCUGGUUUGAGAGGACGACCAGCCACACUGGGACUGAGACACGGCCCAGACUCCUACGGGAGGCAGCAGUGGGGAAUUUUGGACAAUGGGGGAAACCCUGAUCCAGCCAUCCCGCGUGUGCGAUGAAGGCCUUCGGGUUGUAAAGCACUUUUGGCAGGAAAGAAACGCCGCGGGUUAAUACCCUGCGGAACUGACGGUACCUGCAGAAUAAGCACCGGCUAACUACGUGCCAGCAGCCGCGGUAAUACGUAGGGUGCAAGCGUUAAUCGGAAUUACUGGGCGUAAAGCGUGCGCAGGCGGUUCGGAAAGAAAGAUGUGAAAUCCCAGAGCUUAACUUUGGAACUGCAUUUUUAACUACCGAGCUAGAGUGU
rnacentral:rRNA from 1 species